UACGUAGGGGGCGAGCGUUGUCCGGAUUUAUUGGGCGUAAAGAGCGUGUAGGCGGCUUUGCAGGUCCGCUGUGAAAACUCGAGGCUCAACCUCGAGCUGUCGGUGGAAACCGUGAAGCUAGAGUCCGGAAGAGGAGAGUGGAAUUCCCGGUGUAGCGGUGAAAUGCGCAGAUAUCGGGAAGAACACCAGUGGCGAAGGCGAGUCUCUGGACGACUCCUGACACUGAGGCACGAAAGCCAGGGGAGCAAACAGG
rnacentral:rRNA from 1 species